rnacentral:rRNA from 1 species
AAUAGAUACCCGGGUAGUCCACCCCGUAAACGUUGGGAACUAGUUGUGGGGUCCUUUCCACGGAUUCCGUGACGCAGCUAACGCAUUAAGUUCCCCGCCUGGGGAGUACGGCCGCAAGGCUAAAACUCAAAGGAAUUGACGGGGACCCGCACAAGCGGCGGAGCAUGCGGAUUAAUUCGAUGCAACGCGAAGAACCUUACCAAGGCUUGACAUACACCAGAACACCCUAGAAAUAGGGGACUCUUUGGACACUGGUGAACAGGUGGUGCAUGGUUGUCGUCAGCUCGUGUCGUGAGAUGUUGGGUUAAGUCCCGCAACGAGCGCAACCCUCGUUCUAUGUUGCCAGCACGUAAUGGUGGGAACUCAUGGGAUACGUGCCGGGGUCAACUCGGAGGAAGGUGGGGAUGACGUCAAAUCGAUCAUGCCCCUUAUGUCUUGGGCUUCACGCAUGCUACAAUGGCCGGUACAAAGGGCUGCAAUACCGUGAGGUGGAGCGAAUCCCAAAAGCCGGUCCCAGUUCGGAUUGAGGUCUGCAACUCGACCUCAUG